rnacentral:rRNA from 1 species
AACGAACGCUGGCGGCAUGCCUAACACAUGCAAGUCGAACGAAGCCUUCGGGCUUAGUGGCGCACGGGUGCGUAACGCGUGGGAAUCUGCCCUUGGGUUCGGAAUAACAGUUAGAAAUGACUGCUAAUACCGGAUGAUGUCUUCGGACCAAAGAUUUAUCGCCCAAGGAUGAGCCCGCGUAGGAUUAGGUAGUUGGUGGGGUAAUGGCCCACCAAGCCGACGAUCCUUAGCUGGUCCGAGAGGAUGAUCAGCCACACCGGGACUGAGACACGGCCCAGACUCCUACGGGAGGCAGCAGUGUGGAAUAUUGGACAAUGGGCGAAAGCCUGAUCCAGCAAUGCCGCGUGAGUGCUGAAGGCCUUAGGGUUGUAAAGCUCUUUUACCAGGGAUGAUAAUGACAGUACCUGGAGAAUAAGCUCCGGCUAACUCCGUGCCAGCAGCCGCAGUAACAC